AGUAGCAAUACUGAGUGGCAAACGGGUGAGUAUAAUGUGGGAAUCUGCCUUUUGGUUUGGAAUAACACGGGGAAACUUGUGCUAAUACCGAAUAAGCCCUUACGGGGAAAGUUUUAAUGCCGAAAGAUGAGCCUGCACUUGAUUAGCUAGUUGGUAAGGUAAAAGCUUACCAAGGCAACGAUCAAUAGCUGUUCUUAGAGGAAGACCAGCCACAUUGGGACUGAGACACGGCCCAGACUCCUACGGGAGGCAGCAGUGGGGAAUCUUGCACAAUGGGGGAAACCCUGAUGCAGCGAUGCCGCGUGAGUGAAGAAGGCCCUUGGGUUGUAAAACUCUUUCGUCGGGGAAGAAAAUGACUGUACCCGAAUAAGAAGGUCCGGCUAACUUCGUGCCAGCAGCCGCGGUAAUACGAAGGGACCUAGCGUAGUUCGGAAUUACUGGGCUUAAAGAGCUCGUAGGUGGUUAAAAAAGUUGAUGGUGAAAUCCCAAGGCUCAACCUUGGAACUGCCAUCAAAACUUUUUAGCUAGAGUGUGAUAGAGGUAAGUGGAAUUUCUAGUGUAGAGGUGAAAUUCGUAGAUAUUAGAAAGAACACCAAAUGCGAAGGCAACUUACUGGAUCACUACUGACACUGAGGAGCGAAAGCAUGGGUAGCGAAGAGGAUUAGAUACCCUCGUAGUCCAUGCCGUAAACGAUGUGUGCUAGACGUUGGAAAUAUAUUUUUCAGUGUCGCAGCGAAAGCAUUAAGCACACCGCCUGGGGAGUACGACCGCAAGGUUAAAACUCAAAUGAAUUGACGGGGACCCGCACAAGCAGUGGAGCAUGUGGUUUAAUUCGAAGAUACGCGCAGAACCUUACCAACACUUGACAUGUUCGUCGCGAGACUAAGA
rnacentral:rRNA from 1 species